UACCAGCACCCCGAGUGGUCGGGACGUUUUUAUUGGGCCUAAAGCAUCCGUAGCCGGUUCUACAAGUCUUCCGUUAAAUCCACCUGCUUAACAGAUGGGCUGCGGAAGAUACUAUAGAGCUAGGAGGCGGGAGAGGCAAGCGGUACUCGAUGGGUAGGGGUAAAAUCCGUUGAUCCAUUGAAGACCACCAGUGGCGAAGGCGGCUUGCCAGAACGCGCUCGGACGGUGAGGGAUGAAAGCUGGGGGGAGCAAACCGG
rnacentral:rRNA from 1 species